GCGAGGGUGGCUGAGCUAGGCCAAACGCGGCGGACUUAAGAUCCGCUCCCGUAGGGGUCCAUGGGUUCGAAUCCCAUCCCUCGCA
rnacentral:tRNA from 1 species